rnacentral:rRNA from 1 species
GGAAUAUUGGACAAUGGGCGCAAGCCUGAUCCAGCCAUGCCGCGUGCAGGAAGAAGCAUCUAUGGUGUGUAAACUGCUUUUAUACAGGAAGAAACACUCCCUCGUGAGGGAGCUUGACGGUACUGUAAGAAUAAGGACCGGCUAACUCCGUGCCAGCAGCCGCGGUAAUACGGAGGGUCCAAGCGUUAUCCGGAAUCAUUGGGUUUAAAGGGUCCGUAGGCGGUUUAAUAAGUCAGUGGUGAAAUCUGGUCGCUCAACGAUCAAACGGCCAUUGAUACUGUUAGACUUGAAUUACAAGGAAGUAACUAGAAUAUGUAGUGUAGCGGUGAAAUGCUUAGAUAUUACAUGGAAUACCAAUUGCGAAGGCAGGUUACUACUUAUGGAUUGACGCUGAUGGACGAAAGCGUGGGGAGCGAACAGGAUUAGAUACCCGGG